ACUAACUAGAACCGAAGACAGCAAGACGAUAAGUCUCAGGUCGUAGUGAAGCGAAUCAAGAAGAUAAUGUCAGUAUAUAUUACAAGGUCCUCAGGGCUCACAAAGUCCUUCCUUCAUGAAACAGUAUCAGGAAAAAGAAGAAGAGGCAAAAGACAGAGAGGAAUGGCGAAAGACGACUAACAGAUCUUGUGCGGUGCCUUAAGGGUCCAACAGAUUAAGGGAUAGGUGAAGGUCAAUGUAAAGCAAGAAUCUCUUUGGUUUCUUUGUUGAUUUCAAGAAGGUUUCCGACAGGGCACUGAGCACUUUGGUCACAAUGGAAAAUACAAUAUAAAAAAUCCAGAGCCUUUACGACUAGGCCAAAAUGCAGUGUGCAUCAAGAAAAACAUUGGGGACUGGUUUAAAACCACAGAGAGAGAGAGAGAGAGAGAGAGGGCUGAUUACUUUCACAAACACGUUUCUGUAUCUUCCUUGAUAGGAUAAUUAGGAUAAAUGAGGAUGCUUUGACUAGAGUAACGCCUUUAGUAAAAUCACUAAAUUUCUUCAGGACAGAAGACUCAAAAGUAAAGUAGCAAUUAUACAUAAAACACUGAACCAUAAUCUUCAAAUACAAAAACAAAAUUUAAUAAAAUACUCUGAAAGACACAAAGAUAAAGGCACAUUCCUCAUCCCAUAUGCUAGGACAAAUUUGUACAAAUACUCCUUCUUCCCUAGUGUUAUUAGAGCAUGGAAUGGGUUACCUGAGCUAGCCAGGAAAACCAGUGACUUGGCAGAAUUUAAGUCAUUGGUUAAUAUGCAUGACUGAAUGCAUGACGCGUAGAACGUAAUCAUCUACUUUUUUGAAGUAACGUCUGUAUUAUAUAAGAUAACAGAGUACUGUAACCAUUGGAAGAAGAAUUACAAACUUGCACUUUGCAGAGGUCAAAUAUGGUCUGGCAGGGACAGAAGAAGCACCAGCUGACUUAGUGAUGCGAAUAGACAAGAAUUCCGCAGCAAAUGGCAUGAAAAUCAAUGCCGCAAAAACACAUUAUGACCAAAAAAAUGGACGUCAAUAUUACGUUUCAGAAGAAGGAAACAUCCCUGAACCAGAGCACAGCAACACUUGCGAAUCUCAAGACUCUAUUGAGAGACAAAAGAAUAUCUCCAGCAUUGUAUUCGGACUGAUGCUCUCCUUGGUCAUGACGACAUGCUUUUAUUCUUGCAAAUCUGGACUUUAACUGCAGAAAUAGAGAAGAGGAUUUUAGAUAUGAACUCAAGCUGCUAUUGAAGGAUCAUAAGUAUCACCUAUAAAGGCCGCACCAUAAAUGACUGAAUCCGAGACAGGAUCACAAUGGCAACUGGCACCCACGAUGGCCCGCUGACGAAGCUGACUACUGUAAAAAAAAAAAUAAAUAAAUAAAUAAAUAAAAAGCCACGCAAACGUAUACAGUAUGGCCAUAUCACAAAGUCCUUAGGACUCACGAAGACCUUUCUGCAGGGAACAGAACCAGGGGAAAAAAGAGGCGAUGGGAAGACAGCAUGAAAAAAACGGACGAGCCUGUCAAUAAAAGAGAUUGAAGUCUAGCAAAAGGCACUUCUCACAGAGCCCUAACACUGCCAACAAUCAUUUAAGAGACUAGCAUAAGGUGUACCUGGGUGACCUUGGGCGAUCUCACACAAUUAUUCUGUAUAUAUUGUAACCUGGGUCAAUCAUUCCCGCUACCUAGCAGCCAGGGUCAACUCGAGAAUAGAUCUGUGGCAGGAUAUUCAAUACAUCAAGAAAGUGUCUUGAAAAGAGCAUCCUUUGCCCUUUUUAAAAGAUGAACAAAUAUUGAAAGUGUUUCGCUUUGCACAGUGAACUCUUCAAGGUCAUCGAGUUACGUCAAACAUUGGCUUUCAAAUUUGGACAAAAUUUAAGAUCUAUCACCAAAACUCGAACAAUAAUGAGAGAGUAGGAUUUUUGUUUUCAAACGUUCCAUCAGGUUGUUACACGUCCUUGGCAGAAUAGACCCCCAUCAAGAGAGUGAGAGAGAGAGAGAGAGAGAGAGAGGGGGGGGAGAGGAAGAGAGAGAGAAAAAGUAAGAGAGAGAGAGAGAGUAAAAGGAAUUAAGAGAGAGAAAGAGAAAGAGAUGGUCUACUCUUCUACUAAACUUUCACUCAAAUCUUUGAUGGUUUACUAGCUUCAUAGGGCUAUCUCUUCAAUAUUUUCCAGUUGUGAAUGACCAUCUUUGAAAUGAACGAUUAAAAUGUACAAACUAAAACAAAAACAAAAAAAAACUGACAUCUUUCCCCAUUUUUAACCUUGCUGAUGCUUUCAUACUAGCUACAAGCAAAGGGAAAUUGAAUAGAACUACGCUCUGUGACUCUGUGACUCUGUGUCUCUGUUACUCUGUGUCUCUGUGUCUAGAGCAAGGGACAAAGUUAGAUAAGAGAGGGAAAAAGAGAAUACAAGAUACAUAAGGCCAAUAGAAUCCAUUUCGUUGUGCAUAGGGCGUGGCCCUGAGAGUCCUCAUGCUUCUCUCGUUAGCAAGAUCCAGACAUCGUCCUCUCUGUGUUGUGCCUUUCUUUACUUCUAGUCUAUCAUUGUUUUUAAAAUUUCUCAUUUAAAUGAUGUAUUUUCUGCAUUAUCCAUUUUUUACACUCUUUCUUUCUCUCUCACUCCAUCAUCAUCUCUCUAUUUCUCUCUCUCUCUCUCUAUUUUUCCCAAAUUUUUUCUCUCUUCCUCCCUCUCAUGCUCUCUCUCUCCUCCCCCCUCUCUCUCUCUCAUGCUCUCUCGUGGUCUCUCUCACUCUGUUUACUUUUACCAAUAGCUCCUCCCAAUCACUGCCGUAGUUUUGUUCCACCAAGUCACACCCCCCACUGACUCUCCCUCUCUCUGCACACACACACACACAUACCCGGACGACCCGGGUGUGUGUUUACAUUACAAUGCAUCUGCCCGUAAAGGACACCACUGGAGCGGGGCGAGCAAGCGUGAAGGGUAAAGCGGCCCAGCCAGGGGGACGUGAGGGCACUUGGAAGGAAGGGCGGCGGCGGAGGUAUCAGGACCUGAAGUCGUUCAUCCAGGGUCUGAGUGACCUCUAUGACAUUGACAAAAAAAAAACACCUUCGAAGAUUAUUUAUUUUUUAGCGUUCGUCACCCGUUUGACAUUUCUUUUUGGCCUCAUUCUGAGGUCAUCUGCCACGGAUGCUUCGUUCUAGAGACGACAUUAGCAUCUUUUUACCUAACACCCACCAUCCACCUACCCACAGGCACCCAUCUCUUUCAAAGUAAUCUUUUAUAGAGCAGAGUUUGUUUGUAAGAUUAUUUUUUUUUUCACUUUUUUUUUUGUACUGAAAAGAGAGUCUCCCUAUACCUACAUUUUCACAUCUAUAUCUGGUCCAGAACUGUAACGGGACAUAAUCCACAAACAAGUAGGCUACAUGUAGGCUACAUGACAUCUGCCAUGAGUGAUGUACCUUCAGUUUCUAACACCAAAAAUAGAGAGAGAGGAAAAAGUGUAAAGGUCGAAUGAAAGACAUUUUGUUUAUAAAUCUUGUGGUUAUUAUGAAAUUGAAUGUUUGCGCUUUCAUCGUUUAAGCCUGGUCUAAACUAUGACAGAGGCAUGAUCAGGUUUAUCAGAAACAUUUUUGUCAGAAAAAAACCCAAUGCAGGCAAUAGAAUAUAUUGAGCCAGACUUAGCAGCAUUAAUUAGAUCUACCGCUUUCAUUAACAGGUGGCGCAUUGCAGAAAAGACAUUGCCCGAGAGGAUUCGACGCUUUAGAUGAUCAUUCAGCUUCUAGGCAUCGUUAGAGCUGGUCAUCAUCAUCAUCACUCCUUUGAAUUCCUCGUGGAACAUAGGGCCUCGACAAAAACACGCCACUCUCCACGGUCUAGUUUUUUGAUGGUUUCCCAGCUCUUCCCGGUCUUCUCUGCUUCUUCAAGUACACUGCGUCGCCAUGUUCUUUUUGGUCUUCCUCUGCGUCUUGUUCUCUGGGGAUUCCACUCUAAGGCCUUCCUAGCUCUGUUGCUGGUAUCUUUUCUAAGCGUGUGACCAAUCCAUCUCCACUUCCUCUCUAAGAUCUUCACUUCUAUAUUUUUCUGUCCACUCAUCUCCCACAGUUUGGUGUUUUCUACUUUGUCAUAACAGUGUAUUUUUAGGAUAUUUCUCAGGCAUCUGUUGAUGAAGGUCUGUAUUUUCUUUGUUGUGGCUUCAGUAGUUCUCCAUGUUUCAGAACCAUACAGUAGGACAGCCUUGACAUUAGAGUUAAAGAUUCUUAGUUUAGUCUUGUUUGAGAUUUGAGGAGAUUUUCAGGUUGGUUUUAGCUGUGUAAAUGUCUGACUCGCUAGAUUUAUACGGCGUUUAAUGUCUUCAUCUGUUCCACCUGAUAUACUGACUACACUCCCAAGGUAUAUAACAUUUUCUACUUGGUCUAUUGUCUGAGAAUCCAGUACUAUGUCUCCAAAUUGUUUAUUGUUUACUUUAAGUACUUUAGUUUUUUGGUGGUUUAUUUUGAGGCCUACUCUUUUUCCUACUUCGCUUAAAGCUGUGACCUUUUCUUGCAUAUCUUGUAGUCUGUGUGAUAAUAGGGCUAUGUCAUCAGUGAAUUCCAGAUCUUCCAGCUUUUGUGUGAGAGUCCAUUGGAUUCCUUUCUCUGCGUUAGAGUAGGCUUCUUUUGUGACCCAAUCCAAUACUAGAAGGAACAGGAGUGGUGAAAGAAGACAUCCCUGUUUGACUCCUGUUGUGACUGGAAAUUCCUCUGACAGCUUGCCACAGUGGGUUACUUGGCAGGUGAAACCAUCAUAAAGGUUCUUGAUUAUGGUUAUUAUUUUAUUGGGGAUCCCAUAAUGUCCCAUUACAGUCCAAAUAGAUUCUCUGUUAGAGCUGGUAGACAGCAACUUAAGUUGUUUUUUUUCUUUUUUACAAGAUAUGUUUCAAACUAACAUAACAUUGUUUGUAUGCAGGCAUACUAUAACAAAUGCAACAUAAUUCUCUGAUAAUAAUUUAUCAAGAACAAAUAGAUAAGAUUUGUGAAAAUUACUCUAGUUCUUUUUUCUGCAAGACAGGUCUUGAGAAGUUGCAAAAGUCUUGAGAAGUUGCUAAAGACUCCAAUGUUUGAGGAUCUUUAAGUUGUAGUUAUUUGUUGAAAUAGAUACUUCUUAUUGUUAAUAACAAGAAACCAAAGGGAGUGGGUGGGGGGGGGGUGGUAAGGUUCCCACUCCAUAUCCAGGAUCAUGCCUUUAAUCAUUUUAGACUUUUUUGCAGACAUAUCCUCAGCUAAUAUCUUUGCAAAUAGCAAACAUAUUUUUGGGUCCCGGGCUUGGUGCCCUGCUAGCGUGUGAUACCUCACACCGGUGCUUAGUACGCCAUAAGAUUACUACAGUACUCUUAGUGCCCAAUAAAACCACGUCUGCAGAAAAACGAUUUUUUUUUGCAGAGUUCAUGCAAAAUCACCUCUGUUCACUGAACCGUUAAAACAGUCUAGCAUACAGGUCAGAGGUUAAGGACGCUAAAUACAUAAAAACGGGUACCAUUAUAUUUUUAGAAAGACGACAUAUGUGUGUGUGUGUUUAGGAAUAUGUGGACCUUUUAACUCAAUGUGAAUGUGUGCUUAUGUCUGCGACAUGUGUGUGUGUGUGUCUGUCUGUUUGCAAAUACUGAUGGCCUUACAUGAAACUUAUAUUUAGGACAGGGUCGUUUAGGGUUCGUCAUUGCAUCGGGUUCUAUCCGGUCCGUUCUAGUUUCAUUAACUUUUUUUUUACCAGAAAUAAAUAUUUGCAGUGUUGUUUUUUUUAUUGCAAUAAAAAAAAUUGCUGCUAAACUCGUGACCAUGUAGCGUGAAAAAGGAGACCCCCCCCCCCUCUUUUUUUUUUUUACCUACAUUAAAAACUUUUCUAAUCUUCACUUUUUCAACUGGUGAAUGCAAGGCGUUGCCUUCAAGUUACCUAGCUGCACCCUUUCCCUCUCUUCUAGAGCUUCUAGAUCCUCUAAGUGAUUGUACGUGCUACAACGUUGAGAGUUAAAUAGGCACACACACACACACAUACACUGCUACAUACACAACGCUUCAAUUUUUUUCUUAAGAAAAUAUUACACCAUACUUCUUAUUAUAUGUGCCACUAAUUAGCCCUUUUGAUGUUUAAGAAAAUGCAGACAAACAAAACCGAUAUUUUUUGACAUUAUGUUUGGAAUGCAAGCUUUCAUAGGAGACACAAUUCUUUAUUGAGCUAAUUGCUUCUGCAAUAUUCUAUUAGACGUUUAAAGCAACUACACUAUGUCUGUAGCAAAAGGUCAUCUAAUUGAUGCUAAAUAUUGUCAUUUUAAAACAAAAUGUUGAUCUACAAAGUUAAAUAAAUUUAUAUUUUAAUAAUAAAAAUUUAAAAAUUAGAGGAAACUUUUUUCGUAGUUAGAGAACUCAAAUCUAAUUAUAAAUUAACAAUAAAAGGAUUAAAUGAAAUGUUAGUAGCAAAAUCGUUGUGUUCGUAUAGCAUACUGUUGUGUCAAAUGGAUUGCGCAACCAAUGUACAUUUGGGAUUCGUGGUUGGAUGAAACGAUAUCACCUCUUAGAUUUUAAUGUAUUUUUUUGAUUUCUUAAUACAUAGUAAGUUUAAAAGUUUAAUAAUAUUUUUUUAAAUAGAGUAAAUAAAUAUUUAGCGAUACACAUCAAAUGUUAAUGAAUUGAUUUGCAAUUUACCUUUUUAUUUAUUAAACAACUUUUCAUUUGAA